rnacentral:sRNA from 1 species
UAUUCUGCCCUACGGGGAAGGAUGAGAAGCUUCGACUAAGGUUAGACUCGAGCGCCAGCGAGAGAACGUUGCCGCAGGCAAUGGCCCGAAGGGCGAGGAGCGAUAGCGACGAGUUAUCCUUCCCCCUCUAUUC